UUACUUCCACUGCGCGCUUCCCGUUCUUGCUCCAUCGGCGACGAAGCCCCUCCUUCUCCCGACCUCUUUCUGCUGCCCCGGCCAAUGAGGCAGUUGCCUCGGAGAGAGACAUCUCUGACGCCGGUAUGGACACUGUCCUGAGGCGCCUGAUGUUCAAGGACGAGUUAGAUUGGAUCAAAAAUCCAGACUACGAACAAUGUCUUUUCAGAUAUUUUGAAUGGUGAAUGGAGGUAUUCAGAAACUCCAGCUAAACAGCUCGGAUAUGGAUGAUUAUAGGAGCAACAACUACAUGCUAUGUGACACUACAUCCAAACCUCAAGGGUGUGACUGGAAAGUACUUUGACGAAGAACUAUUAAAAAGACUUUGAGAUUUAA